rnacentral:rRNA from 1 species
AACGAACGUUGGCGGCGUGGAUUAGGCAUGCAAGUCGGGGGAAUCCCAGCAAUGGGGGAACCGGCGUAAGGGGCAGUAAGGCGUGGGUACCUACCGAGGGGUUCGGGAUAGCCAUCAGAGAUGGUGGGUAAUACCGGAUGACGUCGUGAGACCAAAGAUUUAUCGCCCUUCGAGGGGCCAACGUGAUAUUAGCUAGUUGGUGAGGUAACGGCGCACCAAGGCGAAGAUGUCUAGCGGGCGUGAGAGCACGACCCGCGCCACUCGCACUGAGACACUGGCGAGACACCUACGGGUGGCUGCAGUCGAGGAUCUUCGGCAAUGGGCGCAAGCCUGACCGAGCGACGCCGCGUGCGCGAUGAAGGCCUUCGGGUUGUAAAGCGCGAAAGAGGGGAGAAAAGCCCGCAAGGGCUUGAUCUAUCCUCAGUAAGCACGGGCUAAGUUCGUGCCAGCCGCCGCAGUAAGAC